rfam:Ornithinibacillus halophilus strain IBRC-M 10683 genome assembly, contig: Ga0104432_1002
CCCGUGCUACAACCGCGCAGAACAGGUUUUUAAACUUACAUAGUUAAGUACCUGUAUGGCGAGUCUGGGUUAAUUC